rnacentral:rRNA from 1 species
UACAGAGGAUGCGAGCGUUAUCCGGAUUUAUUGGGUUUAAAGGGUGCGUAGGCGGACGCUUAAGUCAGCGGUAAAAUUGCGGGGCUCAACCUCGUCGAGCCGUUGAAACUGGGUGCCUUGAGUGGGCGAGAAGUACGCGGAAUGCGUGGUGUAGCGGUGAAAUGCAUAGAUAUCACGCAGAACUCCGAUUGCGAAGGCAGCGUACCGGCGCCCUACUGACGCUGAAGCACGAAGGCGUGGGUAUCGAACAGG